rnacentral:lncRNA from 10 species
CCAGGUAAAAGAGUAAACUUCUAAUAAUCAGCUCAGAUUCCCUUUUGUUGGGUUAGGAGAUGAAAAUACGUUGUACUGGAUUCUCUUUGAAAUCUAAAAUGUCCGUUGGUUUUGGAGUUUUCUAACAGAACCGCCCUUCAGGUAAACAUCCAAAACCUUCCUGUGACCCCGUGCAGAAGCGCCUCCCACAGCCCCCAGAGGAGAGAGGUAACCUCGGCAGAUGCUGAGACCAGGGAGCCACCUCUCUUGGGCUGUGCUGGAAGCAUCUCUGAGCUCUGCUCAGGUGGGAGUUACUGACACGCAUAUCCGUGCGAGGGCUGGAGAAUGUCUGUGACCUCGUCCCCUGGCGACCACGUCUACAGUGACUGAGUGCUGCCGUGGCUGGAAAGCCAGGGUCUGCAUCUCCCAGGACCUCAGGACCUGUGAUGAGGUGUUGUGGGGCCAAGAAGAGGAGGGGGUCCAUGGUGGGCUCUGCCGCAGGUGACCCUGCGCACUGUCCUAGCACCUGUGCCUAAGGAGAUGCCCUCUAUGGUACCAAGCAUCUCCCAAAAUGUGAUUUGCUCUUCCUGUGAUAGAAUGGAGUGGAUAGAUAGUAUAUUAGUCCUUUCUCACACUGCUAUAAAUAUACUACCUGAGACUGGGUAAUUUAUAAAGAAAAGAGGUUUAAUUAACUCACAGUUCCACUUGGCUGGGGAAGCCUCAGAAAACUUACAAUUAUGGUGGAAGAGGAAGCAGGCACAUAUUACAUGGUGGUAGGUGAGAGAGAGUGCGUGAAGGAGGGGUCCCUGGAGCACAGCAGGGCCUGACCGCCUCCGCGCCGCCCUCCCCGCAUUUCCUCUCCUCCUCCCCAAGCCCAUGGCUCAGAACACCGAGACCUGCCUCGCCAAGAAACGCCCAUUUAUUUCCUUCCUAUUUAUUUAUUUUGCAAAAGCCGCCUUUUGAAAGCCGGAGUGCAGUGCGGACUGGCUGAGGCCGGGGCCCAGGCGCGCGCCUCCUUCCUGCAGGCGGCCCGGGGCAUCGAUCGCGCGGGGCGUAAUGAACCCUAAUAACAGCUCUAUCACCGCCCGCCCGCCAAUUGGCCCGGGUGCCCUCCAAAUUAGCCACAAAGAAGCCAGUCUGUCAAUAUUAAUUCCGCCGCGGAGAUUACUUGUUGUGGGAGAACAAAGGUGUUCUGGCUUGAGCUGAACAACUUAACUCCUUGUCUCAUAAAAUUUAAGCUGCUAUUGAUCGCCUCCUUGCAUUGUGUGAGGAUUAAACACGUGCGCGUGCACAUCCAGGCACACGCGCGCACACACUCGGGGCGCCCGGCCCCGCUCAGGCAGCCGCCCCACCUCCUCGCCUACCCGGAAUCAUUCAGCAACGUGGAGCAAAUUAAAUCAAUGAAUUCAUCCUAGCAGAUGGCCACUUUAACACUCAGUUAGCCCUUUAGAUAAUUGAGCGUUGACUCCGGAAUCAUAAAAUGGAUGGCUCGUUUGUACAUUUUACUGAAAUAGAUCACCGAGGUUAAAUAAAUGAAAUCCCAUUUGUCAGGCGGUAAUAAAUGGCCUCCCCUUCUGCAAACAGCUCUGUUUGGCCUAAUAAAUACAGGGACGUUACAGCGCUCCUCCCUUGAUAGGGUUACAGCUUAAUGAAAUGGCCUUCCCUCUGCUUGUUUUUGCCGCCUCCUGCACCGUGUGAUAAGUAGCAAACCAACGAAGCUUGUAAUUACAAUCUUACAGAAACCCGGCCAAUCUGUAUAUAAAUCUCACCCUCCAAUUACAAGAUGUAAUAAUUUUGCAGUCAAGCUGGUAAUGAGGUCUAAUACUCAUGCCUGUGAUAAUCCCCCCUGGAUGCUGACUCUAUCAGAUGUUAGCUUUGUAAUUAUACUGGCAGAAAAUCAUUAUUUCAUGUUCAGCAGAAAAAUGAGGUUGGUGGGAAGUUAAUUUUCUCUAUGCUCUGUGAAGCGUAGACAAAAUUUUAAUGAUUUAAUCAUUAUGGUUAUCCCUUUUGCAAUUGACCCACGUUACUUGUGUAGAAACAUUGGCACAUUUAAAAGUCCCUGUUACCCGAUAAAGCUUGCCAGGUAUGCAGCUUUUAAUGUAAGAAUAACUGUGUACAAUUAAACUAUUACCCUGCCGAUAGGGAAAAUUCAUUUUACUUUUAGUUUCCGUUAUUUACGUGUGUGAUUCAUGGAAAUGUUUAUGUCUUGCCCACACUAUAAUAAAUGGCUAAUUAAAAAAAUUGAAUUAUGCCGCCCUGAUUAUGUCAACCCUGCAAAAUAGCAUCACAGAAGAAUAUUCGGACCAGAUAAUUUUUGGAUAUGGGCCUGAGAAGCGACAGCUUCUGUGUCUCCUGUAAAGAAUAAGGACAAAAAAUGGAAGAGUUGCCAAUAUCCCAUUUGGGGAAUAUGACUUCUCAAAUAUGAGCCUUUAAUAUUUCUCAAUCUGGUCAAGGGGCUGUUUAUAAACAAUGCGCUUUUAGAUACAGUUGAUGCUUGAACAUCAUUUUUUCCUCGUACUUUUGGACUCUUCAGUGACGUAGAGGAAGACACAUGUCACACACAU